rnacentral:rRNA from 1 species
AUANUCCGCAGUUAUUUAAUNNGAUAAUCCGCAGUUAUUUAAUUCGAUAAUCCGCAGUUAUUUAAUUCGAUAAUCCGCAGUUAUUUAAUUCGAUAAUCCGCAGUUAUUUAAUUCGAUAAUNNGNNGUUAUUUAAUUCGAUAAUCCGCAGUUAUUUNNUUCGAUAAUCCGCAGUUAUUUAAUUCGAUAAUCCGCAGUUAUUUAAUUCGAUAAUCCGCAGUUAUUUAAUUCGAUAAUCCGCAGUUAUUUAAUUCGAUAAUCCGCAGUUAUUUAAUUCGAUAAUCCGCAGUUAUUUAAUU